rnacentral:rRNA from 1 species
UACGUAGGUCCCGAGCGUUGUCCGGAUUCACUGGGUGUAAAGGGCGCGUAGGCGGUCAAGUGUGUCUCAUGUGAAAGCUCAGGGCUCAACUCUGAGAGUGCGUGGGAGACUACUUGGCUGGAGGACGGUAGAGGGAAGUGGAAUUCCCGGUGUAGCGAUAAAAUGCGUAGAUAUCGGGAGGAACACCAGUGGCGAAGGCGGCUUCCGGGGCCGAUCCUGACCUUGAGGCGCGAAAGCCAGGGGAGCGAACCGG